CUAUUCAUACACAAAUAUGCCCUUGAGACAGCUUAAGGGCAUAUUUGUGUAUGAAUAG
rnacentral:miRNA from 1 species